GACCUGAAGCGAAGUGGUUUCGCAUCCACGCAACCUGGGGUAUUGUAGGAGAGUGAUCGGUGGAAGCCCUGGUUCGACUCCAGGUUAGGUCA